rnacentral:lncRNA from 1 species
ACAACAACAACAACAACAACAACAAUAACAACAACAAAGACAACAAUAACAACAACAACAACAACAACAACAACAACAACAACAACAACAACCACAAGAACAACAACAACACCUACACCACGUGUCGUGGUUUUGUGAUGGCAGAUGUCCUCGUGAAAGGAGUUAGUGAUGGAGCCAUUGCACCUUGGUGGCGACUCAAAG